GAUGAACGCUGGCGGCGUGCCUAAUACAUGCAAGUCGAGCGAACGGACGAGAAGCUUGCUUCUCUGAUGUUAGCGGCGGACGGGUGAGUAACACGUGGAUAACCUACCUAUAAGACUGGGAUAACUUCGGGAAACCGGAGCUAAUACCGGAUAAUAUUUUGAACCGCAUGGUUCAAAAGUGAAAGACGGUCUUGCUGUCACUUAUAGAUGGAUCCGCGCUGCAUUAGCUAGUUGGUAAGGUAACGGCUUACCAAGGCAACGAUGCAUAGCCGACCUGUGAGGGUGAUCGGCCACACUGGAACUGGGCCACGGUCCAGACUCCUACGGGAGGCAGCAGUAGGGAAUCUUCCGCAAUGGGCGAAAGCCUGACGGAGCAACGCCGCGUGAGUGAUGAAGGUCUUCGGAUCGUAAAACUCUGUUAUUAGGGAAGAACAUAUGUGUAAGUAACUGUGCACAUCUUGACGGUACCUAAUCAGAAAGCCACGGCUAACUACGUG
rnacentral:rRNA from 1 species